UGCCAGCAUUAUUGCCAUGGGAGUGAGCAUA
rnacentral:piRNA from 1 species